GACGAACGCUGGCGGCGUGCCUAAUACAUGCAAGUCGAGCGAAGUUUUUCUGGUGCUUGCACUAGAAAAACUUAGCGGCGAACGGGUGAGUAACACGUAUAGAACCUGCCUCAUAGACUGGGACAACCAUUGGAAACGAUCGCUAAUACCGGAUAACAGUAUUUCUCGCAUGAGAGAUAUUUAAAAGUUGGUUAUGCUAACACUAUGAGAUGGCUUUGCGGUGCAUUAGCUAGUUGGUGGGGUAAAGGCCCACCAAGGCGACGAUGCAUAGCCGACCUGAGAGGGUGAUCGGCCACACUGGAACUGAGACACGGCCCAGACUCCUACGGGAGGCAGCAGUAGGGAAUCUUCCGCAAUGGGCGAAAGCCUGACGGAGCAACGCCGCGUGAGUGAAGAAGGAUUUCGGUUCGUAAAGCUCUGUUGUUAGGGAAGAAUGGAUAUGUAGUAACUAUACAUGUAAGAGACGGUACCUAACCAGAAAGCCACGGCUAACUACGUG
rnacentral:rRNA from 1 species